rnacentral:rRNA from 1 species
GAUGAACGCUAGCGGCAGGCUUAAUACAUGCAAGUCGUGGGGCAGCAGGACUGUAGCAAUACAGUUGCUGGCGACCGGCAAACGGGUGCGGAACACGUACGCAACUUACCCUGAACUGGGGGAUAGCCCGGGGAAACCCGGAUUAAUACCCCGUAAUAUAAUGGAGUGGCAUCACUUUAUUAUUAAAGCUCCGGCGGUUCGGGAUGGGCGUGCGGCUGAUUAGGUAGUUGGUUGAGGUAACGGCUCACCAAGCCUACGAUCAGUAACUGGUGUGAGAGCACGACCAGUCACACGGGCACUGAGACACGGGCCCGACUCCUACGGGAGGCAGCAGUAAGGAAUAUUGGGCAAUGGAGGCAACUCUGACCCAGCCAUGCCGCGUGGAGGAUGAAGGCCCUCUGGGUUGUAAACUUCUUUUAUGGGGGACGAAACCUGUGUAUUCUUACGCAGUUGACGGUACCCUAGGAAUAAGCACCGGCUAACUCCGUG